GGAGGGGUGGCCGAGCGGCUAAGGCAGCGGUCUGUAAAACCGCCGGGCGGGAGCCCUUCGCAGGUUCGAGUCCUGCCCCCUCCACUA
rnacentral:tRNA from 1 species